rnacentral:lncRNA from 1 species
AUUUCACUGUCACCAUCCUUUCUGUUCUAAGUUUGUUCCCCACUGAAUUCAAAUAUCUUAGAGACCAGCUCAUUGGUAGAAAAUAAACCACUUAAAAUCUUAGCUUCGAAAGAAUCUAGAAGGUGAAGUUUUACUUUCUAAAAUCUUCCAAAUUUAAGACUAGAAAGAAGGUGUAUACCAGCUGCUUGAUAAAUCAAUACACUGUCUUUACACAGUGAUAUUUAGCGUGAAAUCAUAUUUUUCAAGUAUGAAGUUGAACCAUUCAUAACUGCUAUUUUUUGGAUAAAUAAAUGAGUGAAUAUUGACAUUUUUAUUUUUCAAACCAUAUGCAUAUUAAUGACAAUUAAUUUGAAAAUUAAAAGAAACACUGGUUAUUGAUAACGUUAAUAGACCACGGAUAUGGAGAACAGACAAUUGAAUAGGGAUGCCGUUUGUGACUUCUGAAUUUAUACUCUAAACACAUAUAAACUGUUGCCCAUAAAAGAGAAUAUUUAUAAUGAUUAAAUGUUACUGUGUUUUGAUUCCCUGCUUUUCACCUUGUUGAUGAAGGCAGGAUUUCUGCCCCAGGUUUAUAACAAUGACUGAACACACAAUAUGUGGCACUGGGUAGAUGAGAUUGACAGCAGUUUGUUAGUCACAUAUACUGAGAACCUGAGGGAGGAGGGCACUGCACUGCACAGGCCCAAGUGGGGGCUGCACUAGGGAAGAAUGAACAGGUAAGGGCUAUGCUAUGGCAGGCAGGCUUCAUAAUAACAAGAGGAUGAGAUGAUCCCUGGUUCUGAUCAUCCUGCAGGAUGAUGUGAUUGGCUUGUGUGAAUGAUCCUUCAGGCUGUCAGGGAACUGACCUUUGCUCCUCAGGAAAAUCAGGGACUAUGCCUGGGCCCUGUGAACAGGAGGAUUCUUUGAUCAGGGACCAAAUCCAUAGGAACACAACAGGGAGGAGCACUUGUCAUUAGGAAAUUUGAGGCCUUCUAGAAUUUCCCCAGAUGCCAAGGCACACAUCAUAUCAGGACUUAAUUUUAAGCGUCAGACUGCAUAUGGUGAUAUGUUUGCACUUUAUGUAAUAUGAAUAUAAUGGAAUGGUAUAUUUCCAAAGGUGAAUGUUUCACUAUCAAAGCAAUUCUGAGAUUUUCCUUAUAGGAAAUUUUGACACUGCUCCAAGUUUUAAAAUUUAAAUUUAAAUUAACUGUGUAUGAAAUUAAAAAUUCAGUUCCUCAGUUUCAGUAGCCACAUUUCCUUUGCCCAAUUCCACAUGCAUGUAGUUAAUGACUGCUAUAUAGACAACCAUUUUAUUUUACUUUAUUUUCUUUUUUUUGUUUUUUAGGGCCACACCCACAGCAUAUGGAAGUUCCCAGGCUAGGGGUUAAAUCAGAGCUGCAGCUGCCAGCCUACCCCAUAGCCAUAGCACUCCAGAUCCGAGGUGCAUCUGCAACCUACACCACAGCUUAUGGCAAUGCCAGAUCCCUAACCCACUGAGCAAGGCAAGGGAUCGAACCCACAACCUCAUGGUUACUGGAUGGUUUUGUUUCUGCUGCACCAGGAUGGGAACUCCUAUAUAGAUGACCAUUUUAGAUGAAGAUAUGGAGACUAACAGAGUUAAGUUCUUAUCCUAGAGAAAACAGAGAUUACAACUUGAUUCCAGUCUUGCUGCAACUAUAAGAUAUUUAUACUUCUUUUGAAUCAUACAAUAGCUGAAUUUGAGAUGUGGAGUUAGGUAACUCUCUAUAAGAGAAGAAACUAGAGCAAACAUUUGGAGGUUCAAAUUAAAAUUACAAAAAGUUAAUUUAUCUGGAUGGAAAAGUUGGAUCUUUUCUACCUAACUUAAAAUUUUAUUCUAGUUUCAAUAAUAAUGGGAUCUCCGAAAUAAUGUAUGCUCCCUAAUCCUUAAACCUAUACUCAGUGCUACGUAUACUGCCUAGCAUUUAUUCAUGAAUAAAAUUUACUAUGUGCAUUCAUCCAUUGAUUCAUUUAUUUAUUCAGCAGUUUUCUCCCAUGUAUUCCAUGCCCCAAUUUGAUUGCCUUGGGAUAAUAUUGAACAGACCUGAUAUUUUCUGCCCUUCUGGAGUUUACAGUGUGAUUGAGAGUGACAGAAAAUCAACAAAUGUGUUAUUAAUGUAUAGGAAAUGAUUACAGAUUCGUAAAGUACAAUAAAGUCAAGCAAGCAAGCUGAUAUAUUAGGAAAACACUGGGAGUUCACUGCUGAUGGGUGGUCAGAGAAACUAUCUCUGAGGUGAAAUCAUUUAAGCCCAGAUAUGAAUGACAAAGAGGAAUUUGUGAUCUGUUCAAAUGCAGGAAGAGUUUACCAGGCAGAAGCAAAAGCUAGUGUAAAGACCAGGAGGAUCAAGCUUGGCAUAUGUGCGGGCAAAAGAGAAUAGCAAAAUGGCUGGAUUGAGUAAACAAUGUGAGUGAGUGAGAGGAUGGAGUCCAAGAGGUUGUCACAAGCCAAAGAUUGCAGGUUUCACUGGCCAUGGUGAGGAGUUUGGAUCUUCUGUGUUAAUCAGUGGUCAUAAGAGUGCUGUAAGCAAUAGAAUGGCAUGAUGACAAAACACAAAAUUUUUGGUAACUUCUAAGGAAAGCAGAGAGGGGAAAGCUCAUUUACAGUACAGGGUAUGGGACUACUGACACGAUAUCCUGGAAGGGCUAGGCAUUGAGACAGACCUUGAAGAAUGAGCAGCAGUUUUGACACAUUUAAAACCGAGCUGCAUAAUGGUAGAGGCACAAAAACAUGAAGGAAGUUUAGGACAUGGAGAAUCAUUUGAUAUAGGUGAACUGCAUGCCUUUAGAGUGUGAUGUUUAACUAGAAAGAUGUCUGGGAAGGUAAAUUCAGUGUUCCCUUGUUGUCUUCACUGGAUGAUUCCUCUAAUAGAGUUCUGGCUCUGCUCCUUCUCUUUUGCAUAUAAAACACACCAAAUUCUGUAGGAGAGAGGAAAAUAUUUGCCAUGGAUCUGCUAUCUCUGCUUGUGCAAGACUGUUCCCUGGUCACAGCUUCCAAUAAUCAGGAAUACCAUCUGCUAUGGGUUGAAUUUUUUCCUCCCCCAAAAAUUCAUAUUCUGAAGUUCUAACUCCUAUUACUUCAAAAUAUGACUGGAGAUAAAGUCCUUAAUUAGGUAAAUUAACUAAAUUUAAUGAGGUCAUUAAAAUGGAUCCCAGUUUAACAUGGCUUGUGUCCUUAUUGAGAAGAGGACCUUUGGACACAGAUAAGAAAAGAGAUGAUAUGAAGUCAGGGAUAAAAUAGCCUUUGACAAACCAUGGAGAGAGACCCAGAAAAGAUCUUCCUUUCUUAGUCCUCAGAAGGAACCAAUCAGUUUGAUGAUCUGUGCUUCUAGCCUUCAAGACUAUGAAAUAAUGAAUAUCUAUUGUUUAAGCCACUCAGUCUGUGAUCCUUUUUUCAUAGCAUCCCUAGCAAACUCAUAACUAUCCCCAUGAACUUUUGUUAAGUCAUGGCAAUGGUUUGUCUAUUUCAGUGGCAUUCAGGGAGUUUGUAUGCAGGAAAAGGAAAGCAAGAUUGUGGAGAGCUGUCCUUCUGCCUCCCAGCCCACAGUGCCAAUUCUUAGUAAAGAAUUUCCUGUUCCCAUCGUGGUUCAGUGGUUAACGAACCCGACUAAGAACCAUGAGGUUGCAGGUUUGAUCCCUGGCCUUGCUCAGUAGGUUAAGGAUCCAGAGUUGCUGUGAGCUGUGGUAUACGUUGCAGACAUGGCUCGGAACCCGCGUUGCUGUGGCUGUGUGUAGGUUGGUGGCUACAGCUCUGAUUAGACCCCUAGCCUGGGAACCUCCACAUGCCACAGGAGCAGCCCUAGAAAAAGGCAAAAAG